UAUCUCUGUAGAGUCUGCAUAUCAAUAAGCGGAGGAAAAGAAACUAACAAGGAUUCCCUUAGUAACGGCGAGUGAAGCGGGAAGAGCUCAAAUUUGAAAUCUUCAAGGUUUGACCUUGACGAAUUGUAGUUUAAAGAAGUGUUUUCGGUUAGAGGAGUAGUAAAAGUUCUUUGGAAUAGGACAUCAUAGAGGGUGAGAAUCCCGUAUUUGACUAUUCUUUCUAGCUUUGUGAUACACUUUCAAAGAGUCGGAUUGUUUGGGAAUGCAGUCCAAAAUGGGUGGUAAAUUUCAUCUAAAGCUAAAUAUUGGCGAGAGACCGAUAGCGAACUAAGUACCGUGAGGGAAAGAUGAAAAGAACUUUGAAAAGAGAGUCAAACAGUACGUGAAAUUGUCAAAAGGGAAGCGUUUGACACCAGUGUUGUUUUUCCGAAAAUCAAUUAAAAAUUGAUUCAUGCCAGGUUGUAUUGACCUUAUCAGCUUGCAAUUUGGUUUUGGGUCUCUUUUUGAUGCACUUUUCGGUUAACAAGUCAACAUCAAUUUCCUUUGCUGUAAAAAGGUAAGAGGAAGGUGGCUUCAAUUUCGGUUGAAGUGUUUAUAGCCUUUUAUCUCUGCAGUCGGGGAGAUUGAGGUCUGCAGCGUAGAUCCUUCGGGGCUAGAUACAUUUAUGCUAAGUUAUAGCUUUUCAUAGACAACUUGUUGACUAUGUUUAGUCAUUGUAGCUUACUCGUAAGUGCUAUUUUACCUACGCUUAGGAUGUUGAAGACUCUACAGAGAUA
rnacentral:rRNA from 1 species